rnacentral:misc_RNA from 1 species
GAUGAAGAACGCAGCGAAAUGCGAUAAGUAAUGUGAAUUGCAGAAUUCAGUGAAUCAUCGAAUCUUUGAACGCAUCUUGCGCUCCUUGGUAUUCUGAGGAGCAUGCCUGUUUGAGUGUCAUUAAAUUCUCAACUACACUGACUUUGGAUUGGUGUGGCUUGGAUUUGGGGGGAAAAUUGUUGUGGGCUUUUUGUAUAGUCUGCUCCCCUGAAAUUGAUUAGCGGUACCUUUGUGGAACUGUCUACAGGUGUGAUAAUUAUCUACAUCUUAGACAUCUGCUGGAAUGCUGCUUUCUAAACCUUACUUGUAUUGACAAUCUUGACCUCAAAUCAGGUAGGACUACCCGCUGAACUUAAGCAUAUCAAUAAGCGGAGGA